ACAACAUUCGGACCGUCGGUCUAACGAGCAAUUUCACCCGCACGCUUGAAGAUCAUCCCAUUUGUAUC
rnacentral:pre_miRNA from 1 species